GUGACUCCAUCCGGUACGGUACUUUGAGAGUGGAUCUCGCAGAGGACUACGAUGCGGUGUAUGAUACUUAAAUAAUAAUCAUUCAUAAGGAGUAUUGUAUUGGGGUAUCAAGUCCCAUCGCGCUUAGUUGUGGCGAGGAUGUUUCCGCGCUGCUUGGCGUGUUUUGUCCCGGUUCUGUUCCCCAGCGCUUUGGGUCAGUACGAUCCAGAUUAAGUUUUCGAUCUACCGGGGCUCUCCUUCAUACCCAACGUCAGGCAGUGGUCCGGGUACCUCAAGGCGAGCCCGGGAAAAUACUUACAUUACUGGAUUGUGACAUGCCAGAGAGACCCGGGGAGUGACCCCCUUGUCUUGUGGCUGAAUGGGGGGCCAGGCUGUAGCUCGCUGGACGGAUUCCUCUCUGAAAAUUAACUUUUCCAUUUGAAUGACAAUGGAGCCACCCUUUACCUAAACGAGUUCACCAAUGUCUCCUCGAGUCUCCUGCUGGGGUGGGCUACUCCUAUUUGGAUGACAAGAAUUACCAAACGAACGAUGAUGAGGUGAAGCAUUUGGAGCAUUGGAUGUGAAAGAUGUUUUUAAGCCAACUCAAUGCAACCCAUGUGCAAAUAGAUAAAGAUAAAAGAUAAAAGGCAACCCAUGUGUUAAUCUGUGAAUACCACACCCUGCUAGCCCAAUCUCUAGCCCUGUCUUAUCAGUUUUUUGCCUGUCCUGUUUUGCAGUGACGUGGUUGGGAGCCAGUACCAGAGCAGUUCUGCACAAAAAAAUAAAUAAAUAAAUAAAAAAAUAUAUAUAUAUAUAUAUAUAUAUAUAUAUAUAUAUAUAUAUAUAUUACAGUACGGUAAACCACAGAGUACCAGCACUGCCUGUAUGACAACCAAAUCGCCGGCUUCUAUGAACAGCAACCUGGCAUUCCUGACUGUUAAGUAAAGCACACCUGUGACCUGUAGCGCUCAGAAUCACGUCUAACCUCCAAGUACACCCGGUACACUAGAGUGGAACCAUUAACCUGCCCCCUGCAACACUGCCCCCAGUGGAUGGAAGAAAUACCAUGUUUGUUCUAUGCUGAUGUACCAGAUGUAUCGUUAAUGUACUUUAAUUGAACUAGUUUAUAAACUCGGUAUUUUUUUUAAAUAUUAUUAUAAUGAAUCAGGACAAUUUAUGUGAGGGUGUGUUUUAUUUUAGAGAGCUGUGUUUUACUCCCUCGAUGGCAGUGUAGAGCAGUUAUGUUGUCCUCCCAACUUGUAUGUGUGCUGGUAAUAGAACCCUUUCUACCCCAUGGAAACCACAUCUUAUCUGGUUUGUGAUAAUAGGCUUGAAUGAUAUCAGGGCUGAUGCUACUUUCAGCCAGUAGACACGACUGCUUUCUAGAAGUCUUAUAAAUAUAGAGACACCCCCCCACAGAGAAAUGUAGAACUCCUGCCUCUUGUGUGAAAUAUAUUCACUUUCAUAUUUUAUUGGAUAAAGGUUAAUAUCUGACUGCAUUAUAACAUCAUUUGGGUGUAUACUUCUAAUUCCAGUGCGAGUCUCACAGCUAAACAGAGCUAAGGGAAGAUUCUGAUCUGGAAAUGUCACUGAAAACUUAAGUGUAAUUGACAAAUA